GCUUGGGAAAGCAAUGGCAUCAGUUGUACAAAUAAGAAAACUCAGCCAGGUGACUCCCCUAACCCGGCACAGAUAUCUCCAAGGCCAACAACUUUUUCAAUUAUGACCCACAUCAUCAGACCCCUGGGACAUCACAAUCUUAUACCAUGGAAAUGGCUCAUUUAACAAGUCAAUUGCCUGCAGCUUUCUUGGUCCAACAACUGUUACAGAACCUCCCCACUUGCUGCAUCUUGGAACUGGCCAUGCCACGUGAUUGCACACUCAUGUUAAACUAGACACAACAUGCACUACAUCUACAGCCCACACAGCACAAAGAUGUCUGGACGUGACAUAGACGGUCGUUCCUUUUGCUUCCAGUGAUAAACAGUUCAGUUGUAAAAAAAAGAUUUAAGAAAUUUAACAGAAAACAGUGAAUAAAUGUUUUA